AAACCCUAGAAGGCCAGGCCAAACAGAUAGGUCUUAAGGGCUCUCCUUAAGGCCAAUAAUGAACUCAGAUUUUGGAUUUCUGCAGGGAGUGCAUUCUACAGCCCAGGAACAGUGCUGUUGGUGGUAACUGAAGACAGUCCUCCUCAGAUGACCUUAACGUGCAGUAGGGUCCGUGCAGAAGAAGGAGCUCUCGAAGAUAACUCGGACCUAAGGCAUUCAGGGCUUUAAAGCAUGGUGUCUGGCCCUGGGAUUCUGGUGAUGCCAUUUCGGAGAUGUAACUGGCCCAUCCCUUCAGUGAUUGAUUGCACUGACUGCAAAGAAGUAUUGAAAACGGCCUCUGAGAAGAAUGGGAUUCAUCAACUCACUGUGCGAAAUUCCUUGUGCCAGAGUUCUGCAUAGUGUUACAGACACCUGUCUCAAUCCACUUAGGAUGGCCUUUGUCUGAUGGAGAAUAAAUAGGUUAUUUGCUGCAGUGCUUUUGCUGACAGUAACAGAUAUGGACAACAGCAUCCUUUAUGAGAGUCCUCUGAUUGUGCAAGACCCGACUGAUGAAGAUGAGUUGAAACUUCCUUUAAAGAAACUAGGAAAUUAUCUCGUACAUCCAUUUGAUGACAACAUGGCAACUAUAUAAUUUCACAUCAUGAAGAUAUUUAUUUAUGUAUUUAUUUACUGCUCUUUCUCCACGAAGCCCAGAGCUGUGUACAUGGUUAUCUUUCCCCUCACAACAAACCUGUGAGGUAGGUUAGAUUGAGAGAUGUGUGACUGGCCCAGAGUCACCCAGUGAGUUUCAUGGCUGAACGGGGAUUUGAACUCAGGUCAUCCCAUGAUGGAUCCUGUCCUUACCCCAGGAUUUCAGAAAACACUGAUUACAGGGUUGUAAGUUCAUCCCAGACUGUCUACUAGAUCAGCAGAUAUUUUGUUUGUACAUGUACUAAUAGUAUAAGCAAUUAGCUUCUAGGUCAUUGCUUUUAAUUUUUGAUUGCUGUUAUAUCUGUGUUGAUUUUUUGUCAUAAUUUAUUGUUGUUUCUCUUAUCAUGAGCCGCUUCAAGCAGCAUGCCAGAAAGGUGGGGUAGAAUUUUUAAAAAAUCAUUUUAAAAUACCUGAUUAAUUUGGAGUCUGUUUUAUCUAACAAAAAGAUUUAACUAAUUGAACUAAAGAAUUAAUUCAAUUCAAGCAAAAACACUUUGGUUUACAGGGAUAGUUAUGGGUGUGGCAGCUCCAUAUUAAUUGCAGAAAGCGAGGGAAAUCAAUGGCCCAUGAUGUUCACACCAUGGCAGCAUGAGAUCUGAUAUCUAGUCCGAGAUAUUGUACUGGCCUACCAAAUCAUAACCAUAGAAACCCAAUUUGGCUAGAUCCUCUAUGCUCCAAUCCAGUUAUUGUGUGAGCCUGCA